rnacentral:lncRNA from 1 species
CUACAUAAAUUAGUUUUUUUAAAUCUAAUCUAAUUAUCCUCUUUUUUCGUUAUAAAAAUUUAAAAUAUAUAAUUUUUUACACAUAAUUUUUAAAUAGUGUAAAUUAUAUGUAUUAAAUAUAAUUUUUGAUUUUAUAAUAUUGACAACUUAGAUAUAAAUUAUACAACAAAAAAUGAAAAAGAUAAUGAUAGACUUUAAGUUAAAAUUUAUUUUAAUAAAUGUAGUUGCGAAAAUCACGUGAAAUAUAUUAACUAAAUCUGUAAGCUAAACGACGGAUUUAAAUUUUGAAGUUAAUGUAUCAUUUACUCACUCAAAUUUAGCAUAAAGAAAGAUUGGAUAGUAAAAAUAAAAUUUUAAAAGAUUGGAUAGCUAAUUCAAAAUGGUUUAUAGUUCUAAAAAAUUCUAUAUGUUUUUACUUUGAUUUUCAUAUCAACUUCAUUGCCAUAUUUAUAGUUUGAUGAGCGAUCAAUUUUAUAUUUAAAAUCUUUUGAAAUAUCCAAAAUAUGAUUGGUCGAUUUUUAAUUUUAACAAUUAGACAUUCUAAAAUUUAUGUAACGACCCAGCCCACUAGCAACAAUAACUCGUUGGGCCCAAACACUAGCCCAAAAUGCUUAAACUCAGUUAUUAUUACUAGUGUCUAAGUCUUCUAUAUACCCAAUCACAUCCCCAUCAUAUUCGAUGUGGGAUUAUUGGGGUGUGACAGACUCCCCCCGUUAAGACCCUGAUGUCCUCGUCAGUCCAAUCACACACAUAGUUCAAGAUCACCAGGCGAUGUGAGACUCGUCUCAUUAGCCUUAUCAUUCAGACCCUGACAUAGCCGGUCACCUUGUCAUUCAGACUCCGACAUAGCCUAUCACCUUGUCUUUCAGAUCCUGGGCUUAGUCAAGACUCGCCACACAUUUUCGGCUGGUGAACUGGCUCUGAUACCAAAUAUAACAACCCAAUCUCUAGUAAUAAUAACUCGUUGGGCCCAACCACCGGCCCAAAAUGAUUGAGCCUAUUUAUUAUUACUAACGUCUAAGUCUCCUACAUACCCAAUCAGGCAAUCACAUCCCGAUCAUAUCCAAUGUGAGAUUAUUGGGGUGUGACAAUUUAUUAGAUAGUUUAACAUAUUGUAUAGACCUUUUUCGUUUGAAAUAGAAUUAAAGUAUAAAAAAGAUAAAUAUGCUUUUGAUUCAAAAUUAUAAGACGCGUGAUACUUUAGUCCUCGAAUUUUAAUACGUUAUAUUUUCUUUCUCAAACUAUGAGGCAUGUGAUGUUUUAGUGAUCAAACUUUAAUUACUUAUAAUUUUUGAAUCUAACUAUAAGACAUAUGAUAUUUUAAUUCUCAACUUUUACUGCUAUUAUAAAUAAAAAUUUUCUUAUACUUUCUUCUUAUUCUUUUUGUAUUUUUAUUCUUAUGUUUUUACUGUAGAAGCUGUUGUUUCUUCUUAAAUUUUGUUUAUUUGUAUUUUUUUACUAUUUGACUUUAUUUUAUUAUUUUUUAGUUUUAUUUCAUAUUUUGUGUUUACGAAAUCGAUCCGCCGCAACAUGCGGAUACCUUCACUAGUCAUACAUAAUAUUUAACAUGUAUCUCAUUUGCCUUCAUACAAAAUAUUGCAAUACAAGUCAUUUGUAUUCAUACAUAAUAUUUUUCAUUCAAUUCUUAACUUGUAGUUAUAUAUAAUAUUAUCAUAUAACUCCUCAUUUGACAUUCAAUAGUCUCUAACUUCUCCUAAAUUGUUGUCUAGCUACGUAAUCAGUCCAUGCUUUGUUUGCUAUUUCUUUAUGCAUGCUUAAGAUUGGCCUGCCUUAUGUUGCUUGUUCAUUCAUUCAAUAUCGUCAGUAUAGCCCUCAUCACAAUUUAGUAUGUCGACUAUUUCAUGACGUCUGAUUAUUGUAAUAUUAUUCAUUCAGCCAAUCAUCCCUGCCAUUAUGAUUUUAAAUGAUAUUAUACAACAUACAAUAAGCCAUCAUAAUGUUAGUUUG